GAGUUUGAUCAUGGCUCAGAUUGAACGCUGGCGGCAGGCCUAACACAUGCAAGUCGAGCGGUAGAGAGAAGCUUGCUUCUCUUGAGAGCGGCGGACGGGUGAGUAAUGCCUAGGAAUCUGCCUGGUAGUGGGGGAUAACGCUCGGAAACGGACGCUAAUACCGCAUACGUCCUACGGGAGAAAGCAGGGGACCUUCGGGCCUUGCGCUAUCAGAUGAGCCUAGGUCGGAUUAGCUAGUUGGUGAGGUAAUGGCUCACCAAGGCGACGAUCCGUAACUGGUCUGAGAGGAUGAUCAGUCACACUGGAACUGAGACACGGUCCAGACUCCUACGGGAGGCAGCAGUGGGGGAAUAUUGGACAAUGGGCGAAAGCCUGAUCCAGCCAUGCCGCGUGUGUGAAGAAGGUCUUCGGAUUGUAAAGCACUUUAAGUUGGGAGGAAGGGCAGUAAAUUAAUACUUUGCUGUUUUGACGUUACCGACAGAAUAAGCACCGGCUAACUCUGUGCCAG
rnacentral:rRNA from 1 species